AACUUUCGGCAAUGGAUCUCUUGGCUCUCGCAUCGAUGAAGAACGCAGCGAAUCGCGAUAUGUAAUGUGAAUUGCAGAUCUACAGGGAAUCAUCGAAUCUUUGAACGCACCUUGCGCUCCUCGGUGUUCCGAGGAGCAUGCCUGUUUGAGCGUCAGUAAAUUCUCAACCCCUCUCGAUUCGCUUCGAGUGGGGCUUGGAUAGUGGGGGCUGCCGGAGACCUGGAAUUCAUUCUCGGACUCGGGCUCCUCUGAAAUGCAUCGGCUUGCGGUCGACUUUCGACUUUGCGCGACAAAGCUUUCGGCGUGAUAAUGAUCGCCGUUCGCUGAAGCGCAUGAAUGAACGGUCCCGUGCCUCUAAUCAGUCGACGCCUUCUGGGCGUCUUCCUUAUAGACGUUUGACCUCAAAUCAGGUAGGACUACCCGCUGAACUUAAGCAUAUCAAUAAGCGGAGGCU
rnacentral:misc_RNA from 1 species